rnacentral:tRNA from 1 species
AAAGACUUAGGUUAAAUAUAAACCAAGGGCCUUCAAAGCCCUAAUCAAGAGUGAAAACCUCUUAGCCUUUA